UCUACCGUAAAGAGGAGGAUAUCCUUGGGAAACUGAGGUUAAUACUCCAUAUGCUAUUGCACCUGGAAGGAGCAAUAACAGAAAGGAGCGCGAAUUGCAGCGCCACCGCUUUACGAUGAGGCCGCGGCGGAUCAGGCAGAUGGCGGGGUAACGGCCCACCAUACCAAUAACCCGUAGGGGAUGUGAGAGCAUGAGCCCCGAGAAGGGCACUGAGACAAGGGCCCUAGCGCUACGGCGUGCAGCAGGCGCGCAAACUCCACAAUGCGCGGAAGCGUGAUGGGGGGAACCUGAGUGGUCGACAUAAGUCGACCUUUUGCCAAGUACAGCAAGCUUGGCGAAUAAGUGCUGGGCAAGACCGGUGGCAGCCGCCACGGUAAUACCGGCAGCACAAGUGGUAUCCACGAUUAUUGGGCUUAAAGCGCCCGUAGCUGGCCGAUGCCGUCUCGCGUGAAAUAUUGGCGCCCAACGUCAAUGCGUGCGCGGGAUACCCAUCGGCUAGGGAGUGGGUUGGGUUAGGAGUACUUAUUGGGGAGGGGCUAAAUCCUAUAAUCCUAUAAGGACUAACAGUGGCGAAGGCGCCUGACCAGAACACAUCCGACAGUGAGGGACGAAGGCUAGGAGAACGAAUCGGAUCAGAUAU
rnacentral:rRNA from 1 species